rnacentral:rRNA from 1 species
GACGAACGCUGGCGGCAUGCCUAACACAUGCAAGUCGAACGGGGUUUAAUUGAAAGCUUGCUUUUAAUUAAACCUAGUGGCGGACGGGUGAGUAACGCGUGGGUAAUCUGCCUAUUAGCCUGGGAUAACUCCGGGAAACCGGAGCUAAUACCGGAUAACAUCUUUCAUCGCAUGACGAAAGAUUGAAAGGUUAAUUCCGCUAAUAGAUGAAUCCGCGUCCCAUUAGCUAGUUGGUGGGGUAAAGGCCUACCAAGGCGACGAUGGGUAGCCGGCCUGAGAGGGUGAACGGCCACACUGGGACUGAGACACGGCCCAGACUCCUACGGGAGGCAGCAGUGGGGAAUAUUCCGCAAUGGGCGCAAGCCUGACGGAGCAAUGCCGCGUGAGGGAAGAAGGCCUUCGGGUUGUAAACCUUUGUUUUAUGGGAAGAAUAAUGACGGUACCAUAAGAGGAAGCCCCGGCUAACUACGUG